CCCUUAGAUGUUCUGGGCCGCACGCGCGCUACACUGACGAAUGCAACGAGCUUAUAACCUUGGCCGAAAGGUCUGGGUAAUCUCCAAAUUUCGUCGUGAUGGGGAUAGAUUAUUGCAAUUAUGAAUCUUCAACGAGGAAUGCCUAGUAAGCGCAAGUCAUCAGCUUGCGUUGAUUACGUCCCUGCCCUUUGUACACACCGCCCGUCGCUCCUACCGAUUGAAUGGUCCGGUGAAGCGUUCGGACCGUGGCCUUUGGACGGUUCGCCGUCUGUUGGCUGCGGGAAGUUCGUUAAACCUUAUCAUUUAGAGGAAGGAGAAGUCGUAACA
rnacentral:rRNA from 1 species